ensembl:snRNA U6 U6 spliceosomal RNA
GUGCUUGCUUUGGAAGCACAUAUCCUAAAAUUGGAAUGAUACAGAGGAAAUUAGCAUGGGUCCUGUGCAAGGAUGGCACACAAAUUCAUGAAGCGUUCCACAUUUUU